CCUCAGUGUCCCAGUGAGUGUACCUGUACAGAGACGGUGGUCCGCUGUAGUAACAAACACCUCCAGGCCAUGCCCAAGGGGUUGCCCCGCAACGUCACUGAACUGUAUCUGGAUGGGAACCAGUUCAGCAUGGUGCCCAGAGAACUGUCCACCUUCAAACACCUGCAGCUGGUAGAUCUGAGUAACAACAGAAUCAGCUCCCUGUCUGACUC